CAGAUAAUAGUUUAAAUCAAAACACUAACUUUGGGAGUUAAUAUUCAGCUAACGUUGUUAUCUGA
rnacentral:tRNA from 1 species